rnacentral:rRNA from 1 species
GAUGAACGCUGGCGGCGUGCCUAAUACAUGCAAGUCGAGCGAACAGACGAGGAGCUUGCUCCUCUGACGUUAGCGGCGGACGGGUGAGUAACACUUGGAUAACCUACCUAUAAGACUGGGAUAACUUCGGGAAACCGGAGCUACUACCGGAUAAUAUAUUGAACCGCAUGGUUCACUAGUGAAAUUCGGUUUUUCUUGCGCUUAUAGAUGGAUCCGCGCCGCAUUAGCUAGUUGGUAAGGUAACGGCUUACCAAGGCGACGAUGCGUAGCCGACCUGAGAGCGUGAUCGGCCAGCCGGGCAGUGAGACACGCUACAGACUCCUACGCGAGGCAGCAGUAGGGACUCUUACGCAAUGGGGGAAAGCUUGACGGAGCAAAGCCGCGUGAGUGAUGAAGGUCUUAGGCUCGUAAAACUCUGUUAGUAGGGAAGAACAAAUGUGUAAGUAACUAUGCACGUAUUGACGGUACCUAAUCAGAAAGCCACGGCUAACUACGUG